rnacentral:rRNA from 1 species
UACGUAGGGGGGCAAGCGUUGUCCGGAAUCACUGGGCGUAAAGCGCACGUAGGCGGAUUGCUAAGUCAGGGGUGAAAUCCUGGAGCUCAACUCCAGAACUGCCUCAGAUACUGACGGUCUCGAGGGGGGUAGGGGCGAGCGGAACUGAUGGUGGAGCGGUGAAAUGCGUUGAUAUCAUCAGGAACUCCGGUGGCGAAGGCGGCUCGCUGGACCUCUUCUGACGCUGAGGCGCGAAAGCUAGGGGAGCAAACGGG